rnacentral:rRNA from 1 species
UACGUAGGUGGCAAGCGUUGUCCGGAUUUACUGGGCGUAAAGAGCGCGCAGGCGGUCGUGCAAGUCGCGUGUGAAAGCCCCCGGCUCAACUGUGGAGGGUCACGCGAUACUGAUCGACUCGAAGGCAGGAGAGGGUAGUGGAAUUCCCGGUGUAGUGGUGAAAUGCGUAGAUAUCGGGAGGAACACCAGUGGCGAAGGCGACUACCUGGCCUGUUUCUUGACGCUGAGGCGCGAAAGCUAGGGGAGCAAACGGG